rnacentral:lncRNA from 1 species
UUACAGGCAUGAGCCACCACGCCCAGCCCAUACCUGCUCUAUAGAGAGGGUGAAGUUUGCUCAUCUGGGCCUGCAGCACCCAGGAGCUCCUGAAAGAGCUCAUGGCAGUUUCAGAGUAGACAGAGGAUGUGAGAAGCAGUGACUCUUGUUUGGAAAUCUUCUAAAUUGGCUGACUCCCAUUUACAUGCUGUUUCUGGCAGCAGAGAUCAGUCUGGGUCACCUCUAUGCUGCUGAGUAAAUAUGCUCAAAAUUAUUACUAUUUCAGACAAAUGUUUAACUGUUCUCAGAUUAUCUAUAACACCCCAGGCCAAAGUCACAGCAAUCUAACCUGGGAGUGAGUUUACUUUACUUUGUGAUUUAUGGAAUGAGAAUUCUGGGUGCUCUGUGGGACUAAUUUAAUACGAAACAUUCAGAUGUCUGUCUUAUAAUGCCAUUCAUCUUUCCUUAGCCUGCCUGCACCAGGGAGCAUGUGGUUCAGAGAGCAGCCUCUCCCUUCUCAGCCACAAAUCAUCACGCUUGUGAAAGGGGGUGACAAGUCUUCCCUUCUAAGCCAGGCUGCCUGCAACAGAGGGUCUGUCUGGUCUCUGAUGGAAGAAAAGUGUUUUCCACUCUUUCAGGCUGUUGGAGUGUUUUGAAAGGUACAGUUGGCAAAGUAGGAUUCCUAGUCAACAUUGCUUUGGUUUGCCUUUUGGUAAAGGGAAUUUAGUCAGUCUAUACUGUCUUAUCAACAGGUGCAGAUUUGUUUUAUAAGAAGGCAAUGUGAUGUUCUAUGGAUUGACAUAAUGCACGUGAGAAGAAAGUUCUACAAAAAGCUAAACUCUGAUUCAGUGUAGUACUUACAUUUGAAAAGCAGAUAUUUCAAUGCAUGGCUAAAAAGGAACAAAAAUAAAACUUUUUAAACCAACAAGUUACCCUAAAUCUCACAUUCAUCCAACAAAUAUUCAUGAACGCCUGCUAUGUAGUAAGGGCUAUUCAGGCACUGGGAACACAAUUCUGAACACCCUACUUUCAUGGAGUUUGCAGACCAGUGAGAGAAAGGGCAUGUCCACAGUGGUAAGUCCUACAAGGGUGAGCAACAGGUACAGGGGGAGCACAUGGAAGGAAGUUCCCCACACAGUCAUAUAAAAUGACAUGAGAAAGCUGCAGGAAGAAAAUGUGCAAAAUCAUGGAAGUAAGAGAGAAUAUACAAUCUUGGGGAAUGGGGAAAAGUUUAGCAUGGGUGGAGUGCAGAACUCUGUGAACAAAGGGCUGAGAACCCAGACUUCAGAGCCAGGGGACCUCCGGAUUCCAAAGGCCUUUGGGCACAGGGGAGCGAGUUUGUCCUGCAUUUUGAUGGCAACAGAGGGCCACUUAAGCUCUUUAAGUGAGGAAGUGACAUGAUAUGAUUCUUAUUCUAGAAAGAUCAUUCUGGCUACAACUUUGACAAAGAAUUCGAUAGAAGCAAGGCUCUGGGGGUGGGGGUGUGUGCAGUGACUAGUUGGAAAAUCAGUGUUAUUAUACCAGUGAGUGAUGGCAGUGGUCUGAAGUCAGAUAGGUUCUGGAGUCUGGGAAGUUGAAGAUCAAGGUGCCAGCAGAUUCAGUUUCUGAGAUAUAAGGCAUGACAACAACUCCUUUAAGGGGAAGAUAAGAUAUCUUUCAACUUCUACUUGCGAUGCUGUGAUGCUUUAGGCACUAAAGCAGAAUUAGAGAGCUGCUGCAGGAAUGGGAGAAGACAAACGCUUCAGGACCAUAGAAGGAGGGGCACAGGCAAUCAUAAAUCAGAGAAAGAUGCUGGUCCUGCAGAAAGAGCCACUAACCCUGGAGAGAGAGCCGCCUUGGUGCAUUGAUGACUGAUGAGCCGACAACAGUUGGAGAUGAGAGUAAGUCUAGCAAUGUUCAAAGAGUGGGUGGGAAGAACAUGGCUAAAUCAUCCAGAAUAGCCACAGCAGUGAAAGCAGUUGAGAGAAAGUCCACAUUGGAUGGGAUUCAAAUACCAUCUGGGGGUUUCAUUAUAGAAGGUAUAGAGAAGCACUUUGAAAUGUGAUCUGUUUCUCAUUCUUCCAGCAAAAGUCUCAAACACUGAAACUCUGAGCUUCUUUGGAGUCACUGUCAUUAGCCAGACACCCCCAGUGAAAUCCAAACCCUACCCUUCCUGCUGCCUGUUCAUUUCUCACACACAGUCCAUCCUCCAGAGGUAUUUUAUACAGC